GACGAACGCUGGCGGCGUGCUUAACACAUGCAAGUCGAACGGAAAGGCCCUGCUUGCCGGGUACUCGAGUGGCGAACGGGUGAGUAACACGUGGGUGAUCUGCCCUGCACUUCGGGAUAAGCCUGGGAAACUGGGUCUAAUACCGGAUAGGAGCCAUUUUUAGUGUGAUGGUUGGAAAGUUUUUUCGGUGUAGGAUGAGCUCGCGGCCUAUCAGCUUGUUGGUGGGGUAACGGCCUACCAAGGCGGCGACGGGUAGCCGGCCUGAGAGGGUGGACGGCCACAUUGGGACUGAGAUACGGCCCAGACUCCUACGGGAGGCAGCAGUGGGGAAUAUUGCACAAUGGGCGCAAGCCUGAUGCAGCGACGCCGCGUGGGGGAUGACGGCCUUCGGGUUGUAAACUCCUUUCGCUAGGGACGAAGCUUUUUGUGACGGUACCUAGAGAAGAAGCACCGGCUAACUACGUG
rnacentral:rRNA from 1 species